rnacentral:lncRNA from 1 species
UGAAAAUAAUAUGAUAUGCAUCAAAACAAAUUUAAAGCAUUUUAAAAAAAAUCUAAUUUGAAGUGCUUCUGUGACAACUGUGGCCAUUUUGAAAAUUCCAAAGAUGGAUGUCAUGUCUUCACAUUCAAGUAACAUUUACACAAAGUUUCACUUAAUUUGAAGGACUUUCCGAUUUUUCACAUUCUAUCUGUUUCAAUGACAAUGGCAGCCAUCUUGGAAAUGCAAACCCCCGAUUACACAUUUAUACAUGGGGGUUAACAUUACGGUAAAGUUCAAUCAUCAUUGGUUCAUACAAUUCCGAGAAAUAUUCUGGACAAAAAACUGUUUAAACAAUAAGAAAGAUUACUAGAUUUGCCAUUGCAAGCAAUAGCAGAUGGCACCCAAACCACAUUGUCACUAAACUUCAACC